rnacentral:rRNA from 1 species
AUGAGCACCAGCGAGGCCGCCACUGUCAUCCCCGUUUACGACGUCGCCCCCGGCCAGGGAGCGCCCUCCAAGGCCCCCGCGGCCGCGGCCGUGCCUCCGGCUGCUGCCCCAGCCGCACCGCCCACGACAGCGCCGCGCAAGUUCCCCAUGCGGUUCUUCAGGCGGAGCGACCGCGGCAGCCGGUGCAUGGCGUUCCUCGACUUCCUGCUGAGGAUCGCGGCGUUCGGGCCCGCCCUCGCGGCGGCCAUCGCCACCGGCACGUCCGACGAGACGCUCUCCGUCUUCACCGAGUUCUUCCAGUUCCGCGCCCGUUUCGACGACUUCCCGGCCUUCCUGUUCCUCAUGGUGGCGAGCGCGAUCGCCGCGGGGUACCUGCUGUUAUCCCUCCCAUUCUCCGCCGUCGUCGUGCUGCGGCCUCAGACCACCGUCCUGAGGCUUCUCUUGCUCGUCUGCGACACGAUCAUGCUUGGGCUGCUGACGGCGGGGGCAGCGGCGGCGGCGGCCAUCGUGGACCUGGCGCACAGCGGGAACGAGCGCGCCAACUGGGUGCCCAUCUGCAUGCAGUUCCACGGCUUCUGCCGGCGCACGAGCGGCGCAGUCGUGGCCUCCUUCCUCUCCGUCUUCAUCUUCGUGCUCCUCGUCGUCCUCGCCGCCUUCUCCAUCAGGAAGCGCUGA